rnacentral:lncRNA from 1 species
CCUGGUGAGCAUAUAGGGUUUUCAACCCACAAUAAAUAAUUAUAUUUAAUUUCCACCAACCAACAAUAACCCAAUUACUCAUUCCCGUUAUUCUCACUUUAUGUCCCUAAGACAACUAACAUAAGGGACCUAGUCUAAGAAUAUUUCAUCGGGGCGACAACACAUGCUUCGGGGGUACCUCAACAAUAUAAGUCAAAUAAGGCAACCAUGAGGGGGAUGGAGUACAGCGAAUGAACACCCAAGUUCAUUAACACCUACAGGUGGCGAACCUGCUAAUGUUUCCACAAGACUAUCUAGAAAAGUCCGUGGUCGUCAUCUAAACUCCGCUAGAUGACUUAAUCAAACAACAACGAGGCCUCUCAUCUGUUUAUUACACACCAACUAUCUACCCAUGUUCUACCCAAAAUAUUAGUAGAUAAAAAUAUACAUUUUAUACAUAGUUUAAAAACCUGUAUACCAUGCUUUAAUCAACACAUAUUUCACAUAACAGAUGAGGCACACACACACAUAACACGUAUCUCAUAGAGAAUAAAUCAUAUCUAUGAGUUAGAAGAAAGUGAAUACACAUUCACACAUAUAAACAACAAUAUACUUAAUACACUCAAACCAUACUUGUAUUAUUAUCGUGUUUAUGAAAGGUAGUAUACACUCACUUGAUCAGAAGAUGAUUGGAUAGCACUAGGACUUGCAGAAGUAGUAAUCCUCAGCAGAUCUCGAAGAUCUCUACAAAAAUCGAACUUCUCGUGGGCAGAGCUUCGGCUCGGGAACCGCACUUCUCGGGAUCUUCGGGAUCUCAAGACUUGCUUUGGGGCUCGAGAAUCAUACCGGGGCUUCGGGGUACUUCUGACAUGCAAAACGAGGUAAAAAGGGAGAGAGAAGAGAGAAAAAUAGCAAUUAAGUCGGCUGCCCUCGCAUCCUAUUUAUAGGAGGCUAGAGCCUCGGAGUACGCGCGGCGUACUGCUCCGAAACGUCAUGGCGUUCGUCAUCUGAAGUCCUCGAGUGCGAAUGUCGACAUACCUCGAUGUACGCGGGGCGUACUUCGGAUGAGUACGAUGACUCGUCCUCGGAUAAUACCGGAAUUAAAGAUUAAAUUUAAUUAUUAAUUAUUUAAUAAACUUCGAAAAUUCAUAUCUUCUUUAUACGAACUCCAUUUUCGACGUUCUUCAUAUCUAUGCGAAGGUGAGACUACGCUCUAUAAUUUUCGUUUGGACUUCGUUGGCUAAUUUUAACUUUAUUUUUAUUAUUUAUUUUUAAUAGGCCGGGACAGAAAAACUUCGUUAUAAAUUCAUAACUUCUUCGUUUGACGUCCGUUCUCGCCUAACUUUUUAUCGUUUCAAUACCAACAAUGAGAUCUUCGAUUCUCAUUUAGAUUGCUUCGGCUAACAACCGCUCGAUCUCAAAUCGAGUAAAACAGGCUGUAUACCGCUAAGCCGGAACUUCGAUAAAUCAUAACUUCCUCAUACGAAGUCAGAUUUGGGCGUUCUAUAUAUAUUCGGAAACCUCGUUUCAAUUACUACAACAUUAACCAAAGAUAUUAAGUUUAUUUUACACUUAAAUUUUGACGCUUAUUUUUAUUCUUAAUUAAUCAAACCACAUAAUUAAGCAAUUAAGCACAAAACACAUAAUACUCAAAUAAUACAAUCUUAUUAUUUCAAAACGGGUUACAAAGGUUAACCUAGACUAUUACAUUGCUAAAAAUGGCAAGCCCGGAAACACAGGCGUUACAAUUCUCUCCACCUUAGAAUGAUUCCGUCCCCGGAAUCACACAUCAACAAACAAAUGCGGAUAGCGACUCAACAUGUCACUCUCUGUCUCCCAGGUGAGAUUCGGCCCAUUCGUGUGUUUCCAUCGGACAAGCACUAACCCAACCAUUUUGCGUCGCAGCUUCUUAGUCUUUCGGUCAACAAUUGCCUCUAGUUCUUCAAUCAACCUUUUGUUCUCAUCAAUUCUCAAUUCAGAAAUUGGAAUUAUAUCGGGAACUUCUCCCGUGAACUUCCUCAAAUAACACACAUGAAAGGUGUUGUGAAUUCCAUUCAGUUCUUCGGGUAAUUCGAGCUUGUAAGCUUGAUUCCCAAUCCUCUGAAGGACUUUAAACGGUCCAAUAAACCUUGGACUCAACUUUCCCCUUUUACCAAAUCUUAUAAGUCCCUUCCACGGCGAGACUUUAAGCAAAACCGAAUCUCCAACCUCAAAAGUCAUCGGUCUUCGCUUCUUGUCAGCAUAGCUCUUUUGACGAUCUUGAGCUGCUAACAUUCUUUCCCUAAUUAUUUUCAACUUUUCAGCAGUUUGAUGAACCAUCUCCGGUCCCAUAAACUGCUUUUCCCCAGCCUCAAGCCAACAAGACGGCGUACGACACUUCUGUCCAUACAAAGCUUGAUAAGGUGCCAUCUUAAUGCUCGAGUGAAAACUAUUAUUAUAGGAAAAUUCUACCAACGGUAAAUGUUCAUCCCAAUUACCUAGGAAUUCCAAGGUACAUGCUCUCAGCAUAUCUUCAAGUGUUUGUAUUGUUCUUUCACUCUGACCAUCAGUCUGCGGAUGGUAAGCUGUGCUUAAACAUAACUUGGUACCCAUUUCCUCUUGUAGACUUUUCCAAAACCUUGAGGUGAAACGGCUAUCACGAUCCGAUACAAUCGUUAACGGAACACCGUGAAGCCUCACAAUUUCCUUCACGUAAGAAUUCGCAAGCUUUUCCAUAGACCAUUUCUCCCUGGCCGCUAUGAAAUGCGCACUCUUAGUGAAUCGAUCAACGACCACCCAAAUCAUGUCGUGACCAUUCUUUGUUCUGGGCAGUUUAGUGACAAAAUCCAUAGCAAUGUCUUCCCACUUACCCAUAGGCACAGGCAAUGGUUCUAAACUCCCGUAAGGUUUCUGAUGUUGUGUCUUGACUCUCGCACAAGUCACACACUCGGCCACAUACUUUGCAACAUCAAGCUUCAUCGUCGGCCACCAGUAGUAGGGUUUCAGGUCCCUAUACAUUUUAGUGCUACCCGGAUGAAUUGAGUACAUGGUUUUGUGAGCUUCUUCCAUCAGAAGAUCCCUAAUUCCUCCUGACUUAGGUACCCAAAUACGAUCUUGGAAUACCUUCAGUCCAUGACCGUUAGUACCAAACACCAACGUUUUACCCAAACGUUCCUCCUUUCGGUCAUUUUUCUCAGAAGCUUCCUCUUGAGCUUUCUUUAUACUUUCCACAAUAGUCGAGACAACUUCAAUUCUCAACGCUCUUGGCCUCUUCCUUUCAAGAUUGACUUUCCGACUGAGAGCAUCAGCAACAACAUUAGCUUUACCGGGGUGGUAAAGUAUCUCGCAGUCGUAGUCUUUAAGUAAUUCUAGCCAGCGUCGUUGCCUCAUAUUCAAUUCUUUCUGAUUAAAGAGGUAUUGGAGACUCUUAUGAUCAGUGAAAAGUUUGCACUUCGUGCCAUAGAGGUAAUGCCUCCAUAUUUUCAGAGCGAAAACUACCGCUGCCAACUCCAAAUCAUGAGUCGGGUAAUUCUUUUCAUGCUCUUUCAGCUGUCGAGACGCAUAUGCUAUCACCUUUUCUCUUUGGGUCAAAACACAACCCAAUCCAACACCAGACGCAUCGCUAUAAACAGCGAAGUCUUCAACUCCAUCGGGUAGAGAAAGUAUCGGUGCCUCGCAUAGCUUCUUCUUUAACUUCUCGAAUGCUUCUUUAUGCUUCUCACUCCAAGCAUAAGUAGCUCCUUUGUGGGUCAAAGCUGUUAAUGGAGUAGCAAUCGAAGAAAAGCCUUGGAUAAACCUUCGGUAAUAUCCGGCUAAUCCUAAAAAGCUUCGAAUCUCCGUGGGACUUUUCGGUUGUUCCCACUUCGUCACAGCUUCGAUCUUCGCUGGAUCAACCAUUAUCCCUUCUUGGUUGACCACGUGACCCAAGAAUUGGACCUCACGAAUCCAAAAAUCACAUUUGGAGAACUUCGCAUAAAGCUUCUCCUUCUUCAAAACUUCUAACACUUCUCGCAAGUGUCUGCCAUGCUCCUCCUGGCUUUUCGAGUAGAUCAGAAUGUCGUCUAUGAACACUAUCACGGAUUUAUCAAGGAAAGGAUUACAAACCCUAUUCAUCAAAUCCAUGAACGCUGCUGGAGCAUUGGUUAGUCCAAACGACAUAACCAAGAACUCGUAGUGUCCAUAUCUAGUUCUGAAUGCAGUCUUCUCGAUAUCUUGCUCUCUUACUUUCAGCUGAUGAUAUCCUGACCUAAGAUCGAUCUUCGAGAAAUAGCUCGAACCUUGCAAUUGAUCAAACAGGUCAUCAAUCCUCGGCAACGGAUAUCUAUUCUUUAUUGUUGCCUUGUUCAGCUCUCUGUAAUCGAUGCACAUUCUCAUACUUCCAUCUUUCUUCUUUACAAAUAACACCGGAGCUCCCCAGGGCGAUGAACUAGGUCUAAUGAAACCUUUGUCCAAUAACUCCUGAAGUUGCAUCAUCAGCUCCUUCAUCUCCGUCGGUGCUAAUCGAUAAGGUGCUUUUGCUAUUGGCGUGGUUCCUGGUAACAAGUCUAUUCUGAACUCCACUUGUCUAUCAGGUGGUAAUCCAGGAAGAUCCUCGGGAAAUACUUCCGGAUAAUCACACACCACUGGAAUACUCUGCAUCACCUUCUUUUCUUUCUUAGCAUCAAUCACGAAUGCUAAAUAUGAUGUACAUCCCUUGGUCAAACACUUUCUGGCUUUCAUUAGAGAAAUGAUUCCAGAAUUCACUCUGCGUUUGUCCCCAUACACCAUAAACGAAUCUUUCCCAGGCGGGUUUACUUUAACUAUCUUCUUCUUGCACAAAAUUUCGGCAUCAUUGGCGCUAAGCCAAUCCAUUCCCAAGACGAUGUCGAAACCAUUUAGUUCGAUAGGCAAUAAUUCCUCGAGAAACUUAUUCCCAUUAAGGUCGAUCAAGACGUUUUUCAUACGAUGGCUAACAGGUACAAACUUGCCACUAGCUACUUCGACUAAUAAAGCAUUAUUUAGUCUAUCAACAGGCAAAGCUAGCUUUCUACCAAACUCAUGCGAAAUAAAGGAGUAGUUGGCUCCAGAAUCAAACAAUAUAUGAGCAGGUAAUUCGUUUACGAGAAAGGUACCUGAAGCGACAUCAGCUUCAUCUUUCGCAGCCUCAAGUGUCAUCUGGAAGGCUCUCGCCUUCGGCUUUGGUGGAAUGUUGGGCCUAGCUGCCUCCUUCUUCUUCGGACAGUCUUUCAAAAUAUGCCCCUCUUCAUUACACCCAAAACACAUCCUUUUGUUGUUCGGACAUUCAUUGGCAAAAUGUCCAACCUUUCCACACUUGUAGCAGGUCACAUCCUCGCUACAUUUCCCAAAGUGCUUUUUCUUACACUUAUCACACCACUUUGCUUCGCCUCCUUUUCCUCCAAACUUUUUCGAAUCAGAUUUCGAAAAUUUGCUCUUCUUACUGGAACCAGAUGUUCCUUCAAACUUCCUUUUCUCACCAACCUCAACCUUGACGGUGGUUCUCCCCUUGAUCAUGUUCUCCACAGACUUGGCAGCCCAGAUAGCUGCCUCUAGAGUAAGUGCCUGACGUACUGGCACCUCGUACUCCCAUGGAAGUCCCUUCGCAUACCGAUCCACCUUUGUCAGCUCGUCUGGAACGAUACGCAAGGCAAACUCCAUCUUAUCGGUGAAGUUAUUGGUGUACUCAUCCACUGACAUGCUACCCUUCGUCAAUGUCAAAAACUUGUUCUCCAACUCCAACAGAUUUUGAGCCGAGCAGAACUUGCGCUUGAACUGCACCAAGAACUCUGCCCAUGACAAUUGCAGUGGCUCAUUAGGGCUUAAGGUCUUCCCUAGAGUGUUCCACCAACGAACAGCUCCACCUCGGAAUUGACGCACGGCAUAGAUAGUUUGCAACUUACCUCUGCAGCCACACGUCAUGAAGGCUAGCUCCAUUUCGGAGAUCCAAUCCAUAACCCCAAUCGGAUCCUCCUUUCCAUUGAAGGUCGAUGGUUUGCAAGUCAAAAAGUCCUUGUACUUGCAUCCCAUUCCAUCAUUCCUUCCAUCAUGGUUAUCUUGCCUAACUAUCGGUGGGUUGGCUUGACCAAUAGACCCACUGAAGUUUCCUCCUUCUGAGUGCCCUUCAUUCAGUUCAGGCUCUUCCACACGAAUCGACAGUUCUUCACGAUUUUGUUGAAGCAACCGUCUAGUUUCAUCCAUCUGACGAUCCAACAUCGUCUGAAUCAUCAAUUGCACACCAGCCAUGGUUAUUGGCUCAGGUGCUGCUGCUACGACAGGUAUUUGCUCAAUCACUGGUGGUUGAUUCCUGUUUUCGUCAGCAUUUCCAACUCCACUUCUUGUUCUCACCAUUUUGAUCUACACCGAAUAAGGUGAAAUUAGAUCCUCAAUCAUGAUAGAUAUUCAAAUCAUCCUUAUCACUCCGAAACGUUUACAUGCUAGUUCUAAUAUCGUAGACGUACGCUUAGAAUCCUACACACAUAAGGUUUCUAGAUCCGGUCGGCAACAGACCAUAGAUCCGAACAAAUAAUAUCAUAUAUGGCAACAUAUAACAUUUAGCACAUAAAGCAUUUUAGGCAACUUUCCUAAAAUAAACUAGUGCUCGUGUCUAAAACACAACAGACACACAUCUCAAAAUUUCACUUAGCAUUCUAAGUUUAAGUCUAGAAAUCCUACAAAUUCCUAGUUCGCUUAAACUAAUGCUCUGAUACCAACUGUGACAUCCCCAAAAUCUCGGCCAGAAAAGACCGAUUUUCAUUUAUGCUUUUAAAAUAAUUUCAGAGUAAAUCCUUUUGAUUUGAAAGAGUUGCGGAAUUUGUUCCCAAAAACAAAACAUGAUAAAACAAUGUUUACCAAAGCAUUUCAUAAAAGAAAUGUAUUUUCAUUAUAUAAUCAAAACUCGGGGUGUCAUGUUCCGAUACAGACCAAUAAGCAUAAACGAUAACAUUACAAGUCAUUCAACAAAUAUAUACAUAUACAGACUUGUAAACAAAACAACUUGAUGGUUCAUCCAUCUUAUGCCCUCGCGCCACUUCCUGUAAUACAAAUAAAACUGAGUGGGUCAGGCUUGGGAGCCUGGUGAGCAUAUAGGGUUUUCAACCCACAAUAAAUAAUCAUAUUUAAUUUCCACCAACCAACAAUAACCCAAUUACCCAUUCCCGUUAUUCUCACUUUAUGUCCCUAAGACAACUAACAUAAGGGACCUAGUCUAAGAAUAUUUCAUCGGGGCGACAACACAUGCUUCGGGGGUUCCUCAGCAAUAUAAGUCAAAUAAGGCAACCAUGAGGGGGAUGGAGUACAGCGAAUGAACACCCAAGUUCAUUAACACCUACAGGUGGCGAACCUGCUAAUGUUUCCACAAGACUAUCUAGAAAAGUCUGUGGUCGUCAUCUAAACUCCGCUAGAUGACUAAAUCAAACAACAACGAGGCCUCUCAUCUGUUUAUUACACACCAACUAUCUACCCAUGUUCUACCCAACAUAUUAGUAGAUAAAAAUAUACAUUUUUAUACAUAGUUUAAAAACCUGUAUAGCAUGCUUUAAUCAACACAUAUUUCACAUAACAGAUGAGGCACACACACACAUAACACGUAUCUCAUAGAGAAUAAAUCAUAUCUCUGAGUUAGAAGAAAGUGAAUACACAUUCACACAUAUAAACAACAAUAUACUUAAUACACUCAAACCAUACUUGUAUUAUUAUCGUGUUUAUGAAAGGUAGUAUACACUCACUUGAUCAGAAGAUGAUCGGACAGC